AAGACUACACUUGCAGAAAUCAUUUCUACAGUUCCUUAUCUGAGAAGUUUCUCUGAAUGUUCUGGGAACCACAAGAAGACAGGAUUCUCUCCUGGAAGCUCUCGGUGCCGCUCUGACUGCAACUGUCAUUUGCUGUUGAUGAUUGGUUGUUUUUCUCUUCUUUUAUGAGAGUUAUAAUAAAAGAAAAUAGGUAGGUAGUUUCUGU
rnacentral:snoRNA from 1 species